rnacentral:rRNA from 1 species
GAUGAACGCUGGCGGCGUGCCUAAUACAUGCAAGUCGAGCGAACAGACGAGGAGCUUGCUCCUCUGACGUUAGCGGCGGACGGGUGAGUAACACGUGGAUAACCUACCUAUAAUACUGGGAUAACUUCGGGAAACCGGAGCUAAUACCGGAUAAUAUAUUGAACCGCAUGGUUCAAUAGUGAAAGACGGUUUUGCUGUCACUUAUAGAUGGAUCCGCGCCGCAUUAGCUAGUUGGUAAGGUAACGGCUUACCAAGGCAACGAUGCGUAGCCGACCUGAGAGGGUGAUCGGCCACACUGGAACUGAGACACGGUCCAGACUCCUACGGGAGGCAGCAGUAGGGAAUCUUCCGCAAUGGGCGGAAGCCUGACGGAGCAACGCCGCGUGAGUGAUGAAGGUCUUCGGAUCGUAAAACUCUGUUAUUAGGGAAGAACAAAUGUGUAAGUAACUAUGCACGUCUUGACGGUACCUAAGCAGAAAGCCACGGCUAACUACGUG